rnacentral:rRNA from 1 species
GAACGAACGCUGGCGGCAUGGAUUAGGCAUGCAAGUUGAACGAACUCCUUCGGGAGUGAGUAGCGGAAGGGUGAGGAACGCGUGAGUAAUCUGCCCCCCAGUUGGGAAUAACAGUUGGAAACGACUGCUAAUACCGAAUGUGGCUUAAGCUUCGCCUGGAGCUUUGGCUAAAGAUUUAUCGCUGGGGGAUGAGCUCGCGUCCCAUUAGGUAGUUGGUGAGGUAACGGCUCACCAAGCCGACGAUGGGUAGCUGGUCUGAGAGGAUGGUCAGCCACACUGGGACUGAGACACUGCCCAGACUCCUACGGGAGGCUGCAGUCGAGAAUCUUGGGCAAUGCGCGAAAGCGUGACCCAGCAAUGCCGCGUGUAUGAUGAAGGCCCUCGGGUCGUAAAGUACUGUCUCCCGUGACGAAAUUUGACGGUAGCGGGGAAGGAAGCCACGGCUAACUACGUGCCAGCCGCCGC